UCUGGCUGUGGCAGCCUGUGACUGAAUGAGAGAAAAGUGCCCUAGAAGCUAUUCAUUACGAAUUCACUGGAAGCUCUCAAACGAGGCUGGCAGAAGCUGAAAUUGAAGUGGUCUCUGACCUAAUUUUCUUCUGCAUGAAACAUCUGCAUCAAGGCUCUCUUUGAUGUAUUCCACUUGGCUCUGUCUACAGGAUUGUAUCACAUGGCCUCCGUGUUGCCUUCUUAUUGAAAGACAUUUUCAGCCUGAGCAAGAUGCACAUCAUGAAGUUCUUCAGAGAGCUGCGGAGCACUAGAGUUGGAGUCACUCUGUGGACACCCUUCGUCAUCAUUAAGAAUCAGACCAGAUGGCCCGUUUCUCCAUGAAGCCUUCCUUCAAUAUGCUUUCUGUGCUUCAGCCUGGUAAGCUAUCAGGAUGCCAAAGCAACUGUAAUCCCUCAAUCAAAGCACUUUGAAUUUCAUAUUCUUUGUCUCGUCCAUCAGCCUAUGAUAGCUUGAAGGCAGGCAUGGUAUCUAUUAUUAGAGUUACCUAGGCUAACCAAGGUCAUCUAAAUUUAACCAAGACUUUCCUAGUAUUGAGAUAGAAAUUUCAGCAUCUGAGAAACCCCUCGUGCCUAUCAAACUACCCAUGCAUUGUACAUGCUCAAUAAACAUGCUAUGAA